CCUGGGUUGGAACAUGGAACCAGCAGGAGUGGAAACCCUUCGUGUAGCGUCGUCCGUGUUAGAGGCACGUAAGUGAAUGAACUCUACCCCAGCCCUGGCCUCACAACGUGUGACACAGAGAAACGGCGACUGUUCAUGCCUGGAUCACCCCCUCAUCGAUUGCAACAGUUGUGUCUGUGCCAGGCCGCCUCCCAGAGCCAAGAGGAGCUUCCUGGACAGCUGCUGCCUCGUCACGUCGCCUGGCGGGGGGCUGUGUGGGAAGCAGAGCACCCUGGGAUGGGACCCUGUCUCCUGGGGCAGGUGUUGGUGUAGUGAGCCGAGGUUUCACACCCUGUUCUUUAGAGAAGCCUAUUCUCAGUGUGUUGCAGCAAUCACAUGGGAACCAACGUGGCUUCACAUGUGUUUUAAUGUUACGCUUUACAAUGAGUGCUGAAGGGGUCAGGUGGAGAAUGAGAAAACCACAUAAUGCCUGUUCCCUCAGCAGAUGGCCUGAAUGGAUGGAUCUGGGCAAAGCGAAAGCCAGGGUGUUCC